rnacentral:rRNA from 2 species
GGGUUGUGAGGUUAAGCGACUAAGCGUACACGGUGGAUGCCCUGGCAGUCAGAGGCGAUGAAGGGCGUGCUAAUCUGCGAUAAGCGCCGGUAAGGUGAUAUGAACCGUUAUAACCGGCGAUACCCGAAUGGGGAAACCCAGUGUGAUUCGUCACACUAUCAUUAACUGAAUCCAUAGGUUAAUGAGGCGAACCGGGGGAACUGAAACAUCUAAGUACCCCGAGGAAAAGAAAUCAACCGAGAUUCCCCCAGUAGCGGCGAGCGAACGGGGAGGAGCCCAGAGCCUGAAUCAGCAUGUGUGUUAGUGGAAGCGUCUGGAAAGGCGCGCGAUACAGGGUGACAGCCCCGUACACAAAAGCGCAUGUGUUGUGAGCUCGAUGAGUAGGGCGGGACACGUGGUAUCCUGUCUGAAUAUGGGGGGACCAUCCUCCAAGGCUAAAUACUCCUGACUGACCGAUAGUGAACCAGUACCGUGAGGGAAAGGCGAAAAGAACCCCGGCGAGGGGAGUGAAAAAGAACCUGAAACCGUGUACGUACAAGCAGUGGGAGCACAGGUUUACCUGUGUGACUGCGUACCUUUUGUAUAAUGGGUCAGCGACUUAUAUUCUGUAGCAAGGUUAACCGUAUAGGGGAGCCGGAGGGAAACCGAGUCUUAAC